GCAAGGGUCGGAAAGGAACUUAUGAUCUGAUCCUUAAACUAGAGGAGGUGGUAUAUUAGGAAUCCUCAGACGCAGCGCUGAAGGGUUCCUAAAUUUUUACACAUACACCCUCGGGUUGAAGAAAAAGAUCACAGCCGAACCCUCGGGCGAGGCGGAUAAGGGUCGGCGGAACAGACAGGGUCGGGCGAGACGGAACCGGGGUCGGGCGGAUAGGAGGGGUCGGGCGAA
rnacentral:lncRNA from 1 species